UGGGGAAUUUUGGACAAUGGGCGAAAGCCUGAUCCAGCAAUGCCGCGUGUGUGAAGAAGGCCUUCGGGUUGUAAAGCACUUUUGUCCGGAAAGAAAUCCUUGGCUCUAAUACAGUCGGGGGAUGACGGUACCGGAAGAAUAAGCACCGGCUAACUACGUGCCAGCAGCCGCGGUAAUACGUAGGGUGCAAGCGUUAAUCGGAAUUACUGGGCGUAAAGCGUGCGCAGGCGGUUUGCUAAGACCGAUGUGAAAUCCCCGGGCUCAACCUGGGAACUGCAUUGGUGACUGGCAGGCUAGAGUAUGGCAGAGGGGGGUAGAAUUCCACGUGUAGCAGUGAAAUGCGUAGAGAUGUGGAGGAAUACCGAUGGCGAAAGGCAGCCCCCUGGGCCAAAUACUGACGCUCAUGCACGAAAGCGUGGGGGAGCAAAACAGGAUUAGAUACCCUGGUAGUCCACGCCCUAAACGAUGUCAACUAGUUGUUGGGGAUUCAUUUCCUUAGUAACGUAGCUAACGCGUGAAGUUGACCGCCU
rnacentral:rRNA from 1 species